rnacentral:lncRNA from 1 species
GGCUCGUAUCAUCAGUCCAGGCACUCGUUGGAAGAUGGGUACCAAACUGUGGGCUUUAGUUCUCUUAGUCACAUUGCCUUCGGGCUUAUUAGCACAGGAUGUAAUUUUAGAUGAUGGAGACGAUUCUAUAAGUUCUGCUCAAGCCUUAGCCCAAUCAGUUGCUGAGGGAGAUGACGAUGGCGGCUUAGGACUAUCAAACGCUUACGCAAGUUCAAUAGCUC